rnacentral:rRNA from 1 species
AUGAUGUGCGGUUUCAGUACUACUAGCUGUGAGGAGGAGGAGGUUAGCCUUGAUGGCCAGGUGGUACCUCGGAAGGACACCUUUCGGUAUCUGGGGUCAAUGUUGCAGGAGGAUGGGGGUAUUGAUGAAGAUGUGAACCAUCGAAUCAAAGCCGGAUGGAUGAAGUGGCGCCAAGCUUCUGGCAUUCUCUGUGACAAGAGAGUGCCACAAAAGCUAAAAGGCAAGUUCUACAGGACGGCGGUUCGACCCGCAAUGUUGUAUGGCGCGGAGUGUUGGCCGACUAAAAGGCGACAUGUUCAACAGUUAGGUGUGGCGGAGAUGCGUAUGUUGAGAUGGAUGUGUGGCCACACGAGGAAGGAUCGAGUCCGGAAUGAUGAUAUACGAGAUAGAGUUGGGGUAGCACCAAUUGAGGAGAAGCUUGUCCAACAUCGUUUGAGAUGGUUUGGGCAUAUUCAGCGCAGGCCUCCAGAAGCUCCAGUGCAUAGCGGACGGCUAAAGCGUGCGGAGAAUGUCAAGAAAGGGCGCGGUCGAUCGAUUUUGACAUGGGAGGAGUCCGUUAAGAGAGACCUG